AACUGGCUUGUGGUGGCCAAGUGUUCAUAGCAACGUCCAUUUUUGAUCCUUCAAAAUUAUCUCUUCCUGUCAUUGUGCAGCAGAAUUCACCAAAUGCUGGAUUGUUCACCCACUAAUAGAGAAUGUGAGCUGGAUUUAGACCAUUGUGAGACAGGUU